rnacentral:rRNA from 1 species
UGCAAGUCGAACGGUGAAGCAGAGCUUGCUCUGUGGAUCAGUGGCGAACGGGUGAGUAACACGUGAGCAACCUGCCCCUGACUCUGGGAUAAGCGCUGGAAACGGCGUCUAAUACUGGAUACGAGCAACGGCCGCAUGGCCAGUUGUUGGAAAGAUUUUUUGGUUGGGGAUGGGCUCGCGGCCUAUCAGCUUGUUGGUGAGGUAAUGGCUCACCAAGGCGUCGACGGGUAGCCGGCCUGAGAGGGUGACCGGCCACACUGGGACUGAGACACGGCCCAGACUCCUACGGGAGGCAGCAGUGGGGAAUAUUGCACAAUGGGCGGAAGCCUGAUGCAGCAACGCCGCGUGAGGGAUGACGGCCUUCGGGUUGUAAACCUCUUUUAGCAGGGAAGAAGCGAAAGUGACGGUACCUGCAGAAAAAGCGCCGGCUAACUACGUGCCAGCAGCCGCGGUAAUACGUAGGGCGCAAGCGUUAUCCGGAAUUAUUGGGCGUAAAGAGCUCGUAGGCGGUUUGUCGCGUCUGCUGUGAAAUCUGGGGGCUCAACCCCCAGCCUGCAGUGGGUACGGGCAGACUAGAGUGCGGUAGGGGAGAUUGGAAUUCCUGGUGUAGCGGUGGAAUGCGCAGAUAUCAGGAGGAACACCGAUGGCGAAGGCAGAUCUCUGGGCCGUAACUGACGCUGAGGAGCGAAAGGGUGGGGAGCAAACAAGGCUUAGAUACCCUGGUAGUCCACCCCGUAAACGUUGGGAACUAGUUGUGGGGGUCCAUUUCCACGGAUUCCGUGACCGCAGCUAACGCAUUAAGUUCCCCGCCU